rnacentral:rRNA from 1 species
UACGUAGGGUGCAAGCGUUAAUCGGAAUUACUGGGCGUAAAGCGUGCGCAGGCGGUUUCGUAAGCUGGAGGUGAAAUCCCCGGGCUUAACCUGGGAAUGGCCUUCAGGACUGCGAGGCUUGAGUGCGGCAGAGGGAGGUGGAAUUCCACGUGUAGCAGUGAAAUGCGUAGAUAUGUGGAGGAACACCGAUGGCGAAGGCAGCCUCCUGGGCCAGCACUGACGCUCAUGCACGAAAGCGUGGGGAGCAAACAGG